rnacentral:rRNA from 1 species
AUUGAACGCUGGCGGCAUGCCUUACACAUGCAAGUCGAACGGCAGCACGGGUGCUUGCACCUGGUGGCGAGUGGCGAACGGGUGAGUAAUACAUCGGAACAUGUCCUGUAGUGGGGGAUAGCCCGGCGAAAGCCGGAUUAAUACCGCAUACGAUCUACGGGUGAAAGCGGGGGACCUUCGGGCCUCGCGCUAUAGGGUUGGCCGAUGGCCGAUUAGCUAGUUGGUGGGGUAAAGGCCUACCAAGGCGACGAUCAGUAGCUGGUCUGAGAGGACGACCAGCCACACUGGGACUGAGACACGGCCCAGACUCCUACGGGAGGCAGCAGUGGGGAAUUUUGGACAAUGGGCGAAAGCCUGAUCCAGCAAUGCCGCGUGUUUGAAGAAGGCCUUCGGGUUGUAAAGCACUUUUGUCCGGAAAGAAAUCCUUGGCCCUAAUACGGUCGGGGGAUGACGGUACCGGAAGAAUAAGCACCGGCUAACUACGUG